AUUGAACGCUGGCGGCAGGCCUAACACAUGCAAGUCGAGCGGCGCGGCGGUCGGGUGCGUAAUGCCUAUGAAUCUGCCUGUUCGUGGUGGAUAACGUCCGGAAAUGGGCGCUAAUACUGCAUACUAUUAGAUGAGCCUAGGGCGGAUUAGCUAGUGGGGGGGGAAAAGGCCUACCAAGGCGACGAUCCGUAACUGGGCCGCGAGGAUGAUCAGUCACACUGGAACUGAGACACGGUCCAGACUCCUACGGGAGGCAGCAGUGGGGAAUAUUGGACAAUGGGCGAAAGCCUGAUCCAGCCAUGCCGCGUGUGUGAAGAAGGUCUUCGGAUUGUAAAGCACUUUAAGUUGGGAGGCGUUACCAACAGAAUAAGCACCGGCUAACUUCGUGCCAGCAGCCGCGGUAAUAC
rnacentral:rRNA from 1 species